UACGUAGGGCGCAAGCGUUAUCCGGAAUUAUUGGGCGUAAAGAGCUCGUAGGCGGUUUGUCGCGUCUGCUGUGAAAACUCAGGGCUUAACUCUGAGCUUGCAGUGGGUACGGGCAGACUAGAGUGCGGUAGGGGAGACUGGAAUUCCUGGUGUAGCGGUGAAAUGCGCAGAUAUCAGGAGGAACACCGGUGGCGAAGGCGGGUCUCUGGACAGUUCCUGACGCUGAGGCACGAAGGUCAGGGGAGCAAACGGG
rnacentral:rRNA from 1 species